UACAGAGGGGGCAAGCGUUGUUCGGAAUUACUGGGCGUAAAGGGCGCGUAGGCGGCCUGUUAAGUCGAACGUGAAGUCCCCGGGCUCAACCCGGGAACUGCGUCCGAUACUGGCAGGCUUGAAUCCGGGAGAGGGAUGCGGAAUUCCAGGUGUAGCGGUGAAAUGCGUAGAUAUCUGGAGGAACACCGGUGGCGGAAGGCGG
rnacentral:rRNA from 1 species